rnacentral:rRNA from 1 species
CACGUAGGGCGCAAGCGUUGUCCGGAAUUAUUGGGCGUAAAGAGCUCGUAGGCGGUGUGUCGCGUCGGCCGUGAAAACCUGCAGCUUAACUGUGGGCUUGCGGUCGAUACGGGCAUCACUGGAGUUCGGCAGGGGAGACUGGAAUUCCUGGUGUAGCGGUGAAUGCGCAGAGAUCGGCAGGAACACCCAAGGGGAAGCCAGCUGGCUGGGCAUUUGCUGACGCUCAUGUGCGACAGCGUGGGGAGCGAACUGG